CCCACCCGGAACUCGGUCACUGUGAAGCGGUGCUCCCACCCUGAACUCGGUCACUGUGAAGCGGUGCUCCCACCCGGAACUUGGUCCCUGUGAAGCAGUGCUCCCACCUGGACUGGGAACUCCAUCCCUGUGAAGCGGUGCUCCCACCCGCCCUGGGCGUCAGCACCACGGCCAGCACCUGCCGGCUCCUGCCAUCACCUCCUCACUCCCAGAGCCACAUCUCUCGCAGGAGCAAGACAGAAAGAAACCUCGGCCCCAAAUGAGGGACCGUGACCUGCCACAAGCAUGGGACAUGGAGCAAAGCCGCUUUAAUGGACACUCAUUCUGUCCCCAUCGUGGGGCGGUCCGCAGCUCACUCAGUCCCAGCCCCAGUCAGACAACCAAGUGAACCAGACGGGGAGAGGAAGCUCUGGGGUCCUACUGCACGGCAGGGUGACUACGGCUUGCAGCAAUGAGUUGUGCAUUUCAGAAGAGCUAGAAGACAAGGUUCUGAAAUGUCCUAGGCCUGUUUGGUAUGAGACACAUGGUGGGAAAUCCAGCCCCAGUUUGACAGGGCUCACAACAGUGCUAGCUUGGGCUCAGGCAGGUGCAGCCGGGGCUAAUGCACCCCCAGCCCCAGGGUCUCUGCUGUUAGAAGGUGGCCUCAUGCACGGCUCAUCUUCAUUCACCCCCGGGGUCUCUGCUGUUAGAAGGCGGCCUCAUGUAGGGCCCGUCUUCAUUCCCCUCGGCUACCUCAGGACCCGACACAGAACCAGGAUGGGUAGACAGUCAGUAAGCGUCUACUGAAUCGAAUUUCCCCAAAUAGAAUUCACUUGCUCUUUGAACAUGCACACACAUGCACAGACUCUCUAAAUGAAACACUUGGGAAGAAAGAACUGCAAAAUUUCAGAAAUCAUAGAAAUAAUAUUUUGAUCUAAAAUGACCUUAAAAAUGGAUCUGGCUGAAUCUAACCAAUUGGUGAAUAAAACAUCGAAAAUGGAUAUGGAUUCUAAAUGAAAUGCCAUUUAAUCUCAGUCAGCCGGAAAGUUCAGGAAUGCGGCAUUCACGGGCACACCUGUGCGAUGAUUGAGAGUAAACAUCAUUCUGUGAAACAAUUUCAGAAAUUAAAGAUACUUUUAAAGACUGACUAAAAGACAUUGUUUUUAACCCAUAAAGGUUUCUCCAAGUCUCUUGAGGACCCCAGGCUGAUCUGGGCCCAGUUUGGUCCGUACAUUUGAAUCUGUCCCCUUCUGAAGACUUUUCUUCCCGCUCGCCUGUCGCAGUUUAGCUGAGUCAUCAUCAGAGCAGCACACAUGUGCCCAGCACGUGGACUCUGCCUCCAGCUCUAAGGCUGAGAAGAACCUUCCGCAUAUAAUCCACAACACAGCUACUCAGAGUGUUGCAGAGAACCAGACACUGUAUUCUUUAUUUCAUGCCAUUUCCCGAAAGUUUCUACCACGUGUCUCAGCAAACCACCGAAGUGUGUGCACAUGAGCAUCUGUGUUCCGCCUUUCUCAGAAACACAGCUCUACGUAAACACCCCAACACGUAAGCGGCAUCCCGACGUUUCCACCAUCUCCCAUUAUUAUGGGGCGCUUCGUUCAUUUUGCUGUCUGUGGUUGUUGAUCUGUCUUUACUAAGAGUUUUUAAAAAGAGUGAAUAAUGGUGAUCGCUAAAUUUAAGAAUAUUAACUGUAAGCCUGGGCGCAGUGGCUUCUGCCUGUAAUCCCAGCA